GUUUCUCCCUGGAGAAGGGAUCGUUGCCUUUGGUGGAGCUCCGGCGGGAAGCAAACUCCUGUGCUGGGGCUGUGGAGCGUCUCAACUUGAGAGCGACGGUGGAAUGUGGCGCAACAGCUGGCCCCCAACCUGAAGUGCUGGAAGGAAGCUUGUGAGGCCUCCUGAAUUGUCUGUCUAAUCAGGGAGACAGUUACACCUCCUGGAUCAAAGUCACGGGGCAGCUUCUGGGAACUGGACCUCGAGCAGCCGGAGAAAGGCUGCAGAACUGGUUUCUCGGCACGGCUGUUUACUUGUUUGUCUGAUCGCCUAGUGGACAAUCCCACU
rnacentral:lncRNA from 1 species